rnacentral:lncRNA from 1 species
GUCCAACAGCUUUUGUCCCUCAACAGCAGAUGCAUAUUUCUCCUCCAUCUCCUUGACUUUAGACUACCUGAAAACAGACAUACAUAAUGGUCACAUUUGUACAUGUGAAUCUAUAUAUAUAAAUAGUAUAAUACUAAUGAAAAAAAAUCACGUAAAAUUGAUGUUUCAAAAUAGAUCCAAGCAACAAUAUCCAUGAUCAUCCUCAAUCAGUAAAGAAUAAAUGAGUAAUGACAUAGUCACAUAGUGUUAGAGAAUGUAGUGUUACUAGAUAAGCUACGCAUUUAAUUCAAAGAGUUAUCUGAAUUUAUGUUGGGGCUAUAAUCCUUGAAAUGAAGCAUAACUCAUAUGCUUAGUGUUACAAUUUGUAAAUUGGGAUGAAUAACACAUAGGAGGGAAAGGUGAUGGUGCGUGCAAUGCAAUGACCUUGCUGGGUGCCUUUGUGUGUAAACACUAUACCAAAGCCAAUAUCAGAAUUGGUGGUGUAAAAUGGUACUGACAAAGCCAAAAGGUGAACAACUCUAGUUAAUAGAGUUGGGAAAUUGUUAUUUUGUCUUUGAUGGUAAAAUACUCUAAAAAUCGGCAGUCUGACAUACAUUCUCUAAAGCUCCAAGAGUCCAAGACUACUACAAUUGGCUUAAUUAAACAAGUUCAUAAAGUAUUGAAUGAUUGAAUCUAUAUUAGCUAAAUGUGUGCUAAUACAAAAUCUUCUUACUGAUUCAUGAAAACUAUAGAACAAAAUACUAUAUAUGAUGAUGACUUACUGAUUCAUGAAAAAUUAUAUCUUCAAUAAUCAAUACUAUAUUACUCUUGAUAAGGAAAAAAAAAAAAUGUUACAGAAACCUUUAGCUUGUAAGCUUCAUGAAUAUCAACAAACAGUCAGACAUAUUUUAAUUUAACGAAAAAUAAUAAAACAUAGUAAUACUAAUUACUAAAUAAAUCUAACCUUUGAUCUUUAGCUCCAAAGAAUUCUAUUGAUAGAACUUUCUUCUUCUUUGUCGAUUGGAUCGAGAAAUGUCUCUUCGUAUCCCUUCCUUUACUCUGUUUUUCUCUACUUCUCUUAUAUAGAGCGAUCUCAAAUGCGAAUACCACUUACGUGGAAUCUUAUUUACUUGACACGUGGUGUGAUCCAUAAAGAAUUCUAGGUGAAAUGAUGGAUUCUCUCGAGAGCGACCGCGUUGUUAACGCGUACGUGUUGCUG